rnacentral:tRNA from 2 species
GGUGGGAUUCUGGAGCGGUCAAACAGGACAGACUGUAAAUCUGUUGGCAUAGCCUUCCAAGGUUCGAAUCCUUGUCCCACCACCA